UGGGUGCGACAGCCAGAGAAACAGUAUCUGCAGUAGUUUUUUUAACUAAUCCCUUUCCGGGGGAAGCACUGUCUGCUGCUGCUGCUGCACUAGUCUGGGACUUUGCUCUCUGCCAAGCACACAGUAAUGUAUCGCUCUAUUAAUCUACAUCCCUGUAGUAAUGGGAAAGAGUUUUAUUACAGCCACCACUGGAGUCUCAUUACAGGAGCCAGGCUAACCUGUGAUGCUGAUUUUGGCAGACCACUUGGAGGUCCCAUCCAGAACAGCCUGCUUGGCUGUCUUCAGAUGGCUGUUGAAGUCUUCUUUGGAGAUGUGGAACAUCUCCUGGAUCACCUCGAACACUUCAGGACGGUUCUUCUCCCUUAUCUUCAUGCGCUCCUUCAUAGCCAUGAUGAUAUUCUGGGUCUUGUCCUCUGCCCCGUGCUUAGAGCUCUUCUCCACUGCCCCUGAAACAAGCCAAGAGCAUUUAGGUGUUUAUUAAUUAAUUAAUACCCAUGAAUUGGAAUAAAAACUGGUGAUCCAUUGA